rnacentral:lncRNA from 1 species
GCCAAUCUGGACACAGAACCUCGGAAAUCCUAAAAUCCCGGUCCAAUUGGAUUUUUAGGUCUGGAUCAGUCUGAACCCUCAUCUCCAUGAGUCAAAAGUAGUAGUGCGCUACGGAGUGUAUAGGGUAUCAUUUGGGAUAUACAACCAGUAUAUUUGAAGAUUGUGAUUGAUUGUAUCUGAUGGUGUCCGAUGCAGAAAUAUCCUUCCAAUCUUCUUUGUUACCUUUUUAUUUGAGCGGAAAGACAGAUAGAGAGAGAGAGAAAGGUAGAGAGACAGGGCCAGAGAGAGUGAGAGAGAGAAAGGUAAACAGAGAGAUAGAUAGAGAGAGAGAGGUAGAGAGAGAGAAAGAUAGAGAGACAGGGCCAGAGACAGUGAGAGAGAGAGAAAGAAAGGUAGAUAGAGAGAGGUAAAGGUAGAGAGACAGGGCCAGAGACAGUGAGAGAGAGAGAGAGAAAGGUAGAUAGAGAGAGAGAGUAAAAGGUAGAUAGAGAGAGAGAGUAAAAGAGAGAGAGAAAGGUAGAUAGAGAGAAGUGUUGUGUCUAAGGAAGGUUUAGAGUCGACUAAAUACAUUCUGGGCUACACAAAAGAAGCUCCGUACAAUGUGUAUCAUAUUUGACGGAGGGGUUGUCAAAGCACCAUUUUCAUUUUUGUUCCACUUACUUACAGAAAUACUUUUCUCGAUACCAAACAUUCACACAAUUGAAGUUUGAGUUAUUUAUUAUUUAGCUAUGUUUUCGUGUUUUUUUUUUUGCAUCAGGAUGUACUGUAUUAUAGAAUCACAAGAUCAUAUUCAGGAAAUAUUAGGUGUACUGUUGCUUUUAUGUAAGAUAAUUGAAACCAAAAUGAAUCCAAGACUUCUUCGGGCAUCUUCUCUUUCAUGCAUCACCUUUUGUCAUAGCAACUAUUGGUUACCAUCCUCUUAAGUCGAUAGCAUGUACAGUAUUGGCCCUUUUUAAAAGAUACCUUGACUCAAUAAUGGGUGUGUAUAGCAUCCUCACAGUAGCAUAGAUAAACACAGACAGACAUUUACACUAAUCCUGGUUGAAGAAUAAGACCAU